rnacentral:lncRNA from 1 species
UGGCAGCUUGACUGGAUGGUUUAAUGAGCUAAAUUGCAGGCUGGAGCUCUUUUGCUUCUGCUCAUGUGGCAAGAAUAACACAAGGAAAGUCCAACAAGGAGAUGCACUGCAGAGCUCAGCAAACACCAUGUUCACCUACGUAAGUUGUUGCUGUACAGAUGUUACCUCAUCCACACCUGAACUGCAGAUAACGCGCCUCCAUAUAAGUAAUUAUUGUGCUGAUUGCAUGGCUGGUCAGAGACUUCACACGGGCAGUUUCCACACAGCAGGUAAUCAGCUAUAACUUGCUGGGCUGUGCAGCUAGAUUACCAAUUACCUGUUUCUCAGCUCAUUUCAUGAUCUCAGUGCAGAGAUUGAGUGCUAGCUGAGAGUGCAGGAUCUAGGCUAAAGCACAGUGAAAUGGGACUUGGCAACUGAAUGCAUGUAAGGUUCUUUUUUGUAGAGCUAAAAAUGUGUUAUAAGAAGGUAGAGAAUACACUGGAAUCCCUGCCUAUGUACAGCAUAAAGUAGGAAGAUGACUGUAGAAUCAGGGUCUGGGUUAUGAAAGGGAGAAUAUAUGAUAAAAGAGUGAGGGAAGAAAACACUUCAUGCUCAGGUACUGCCACUGGGCAAACGGAGUUUUAGAAUCCCUUACAUAGGCCUUGCAUGCUUGCUUUCUUGCUGAAGACCCUUUAUACAUACAGGGCAUCAUUCAUCCGUUUGCCACUCAUCCUAUGCAUAAUUCUGCAACUUCUGUAAGUCAACAGUUUAACAACUUCAGUGGAAAAUUCACAAAAGAAAAAAUGAGCCUGUGCUGCCAUGGUGUUCAGUCACCUUGGCUAGCUAUACCUUCCGAGAAAGCAACACUUUCUCAGUGUUGAUGAGGGGCAUGGGACACCACACAAUUACACCUUAAAACAGUGUAACCAAAGAGCUAGGAUGCUGUGUAAUGAUGUCUACUGUUUUUCACCACAGUUUGUAACGGUGAAGUUCCAAUGGGGGAAGCAGUUCCCCACCCUUAGCCCACAGGUUUGAUACUAUAGAAAUUUAAGACUGUUAUAUAUCACAUGAUCACUGAAAAAAUGCAGAUUGAAAAUAUGCAAGGAAAGAGAAGAAAAGAGAAGGAGAGAAAAAGAACAAAGAACUGUGGCAUGGGAGCAGAAGUGCUUUUCAGUCUAGAUUAUUUCACUGCUUGAGGUUACAGAACAACACGUUUAUACUAACAAUAAAAAGAGACAGAGGAUUAGAAUAACUGCA